CAGUCGCGCGGAAGGGGCGAAAGGCCCUUCCGUGAGGAAAGUCCGGGCUCCACAGGGCAAGGAUAACGGGUAACGCCCGCCGAAGGCGACUUCAGGAAAAGUGCAACAGAGAGAUACCGCCUCGUCGUCGCAAGCUUCAUAUCCUUUGCCGCGCCGCACGCGGCACGGCGCACUCAUUCCGUUGCGCCUCCUCUUCCGAAAAGAACCGCUUUGCUGGGUUCUUUUCGGAGUUACGGGGGUAGGACGGGGGAUGCGAAAGGAUAUUGAGCUUGUGAUGACGAGGUAAGGGUGGAAAAGUGCGGUAAGAGCGCACUCAAUGGCUGGGAACAGUCCAUUGCUGUAAACUCUAUUCGGAGCAACACCGGUAUGGAAGCAGGGGCUUCACGCCCCAAGGCCGGCCCGGCCGCUUCCGGGGUGGCUUGAGCGUACCGGCAACGGUGCGUCGAGAUAGAUGACUGUCAGAUACAGAACCCGGCUUACAGUUUUGCUCG
rnacentral:RNase_P_RNA from 1 species